GAUGAACGCUGGCGGCGUGCCUAAUACAUGCAAGUCGAGCGAACGGACGAGAAGCUUGCUUCUCUGAUGUUAGCGGCGGACGGGUGAGUAACACGUGGAUAACCUACCUAUAAGACUGGGAUAACUUCGGGAAACCGGAGCUAAUACCGGAUAAUAUUUUGAACCGCAUGGUUCAAUAGUGAAAGACGGUCUUGCUGUCACUUAUAGAUGGAUCCGCGCUGCAUUAGCUAGUUGGUAAGGUAACGGCUUACCAAGGCAACGAUGCAUAGCCGACCUGAGAGGGUGAUCGGCCACACUGGAACUGAGACACGGUCCAGACUCCUACGGGAGGCAGCAGUAGGGAAUCUUCCGCAAUGGGCGAAAGCCUGACGGAGCAACGCCGCGUGAGUGAUGAAGGUCUUCGGAUCGUAAAACUCUGUUAUUAGGGAAGAACAUAUGUGUAAGUAACUGUGCACAUCUUGACGGUACCUAAUCAGAAAGCCACGGCUAACUACGUG
rnacentral:rRNA from 1 species